UACGGAGGGUGCGAGCGUUGUCCGGAAUCACUGGGCGUAAAGGGCGCGUAGGCGGCCUGGCAAGUCGAUGGUGAAAGCCCGAGCUCAACUUCGGGUCGGCCACUGAUACUGCUGGGCUUGAGUCGACUAGAGGCAGAUGGAAUUCCGGGUGUAGCGGUGGAAUGCGUAGAGAUCCGGAAGAACACCGGUGGCGAAGGCGGUCUGCUGGGGUCGAACUGACGCUGAGGCGCGACAGCGUGGGGAGCAAACAGG
rnacentral:rRNA from 1 species